GUCUACGGCCUUGCCACCCUGAACGUGCCAGGUCCCGUCUGAUCUCGGAAGCUAAGCAGGGUCGGGCCGCGGCAGGGCAGCACGGCCGGGGCGCCGCGUGGC
rnacentral:rRNA from 1 species